rnacentral:rRNA from 1 species
GAUGAACGCUGGCGGCGUGCCUAAUACAUGCAAGUCGAGCGAACAGAUGAGGAGCUUGCUCCUCUGACGUUAGCGGCGGACGGGUGAGUAACACGUGGAUAACCUACCUAUAAGACUGGGAUGACUUCGGGAAACCGGAGCUAAUACCGGAUAAUAUAUUGAACCGCAUGGUUCAAUAGUGAAAGACGGUUUUGCUGUCACUUAUAGAUGGAUCCGCGCCGCAUUAGCUAGUUGGUAAGGUAACGGCUUACCAAGGCAACGAUGCGUAGCCGACCUGAGAGGGUGAUCGGCCACACUGGAACUGAGACACGGUCCAGACUCCUACGGGAGGCAGCAGUAGGGAAUCUUCCGCAAUGGGCGAAAGCCUGACGGAGCAACGCCGCGUGAGUGAUGAAGGUCUUCGGAUCGUAAAACUCUGUUAUUAGGGAAGAACAAAUGUGUAAGUAACUAUGCACGUCUUGACGGUACCUAAUCAGAAAGCCACGGCUAACUACGUGCCAGCCGCCGCCGUAA